GCGGCCGGACGAAGACAGUGUGACUGAGUGUGGGAGAGGAAUGGCGCCGGCGGCUGAAGGAACAAGAACAGAAACCGCUGGAAAAGCUGAGCAGGUCCGGCAGCUCGUGUUGAGAGAAAUUGUGACCUAUUUGGAUAGGGCAAGGCUUACCAGGGUAGCACACAGCACAACUGGUAUCAAACUGGCACACAACACCUUUACAGGAAGGUGUCAAAGGAGGUUAAAGUUUCAGCAGAAAUGAAGCACAGCUGAGAACAGACAACAACUGUGUGGGAACAGGAAGAUCAACCAAGGACAAAGAAACCAGGACUGAAAUCCGAGCUGACACCAGACCGCCCUGUGGUCAGUGCUUUGAUUAGCAGUGUCAACCCUCUACCUUUACCUAGCUUCCCAUUCGACUUGAAUGCCACAUCUCCCCUCAAUAUUUAGGAUCCAAUCCUUGUCAUCCUGAAGCUAUGUCUCUGUAAGGAGUCUCAGAUCAUAAUUAUUCUCUUCAAUGUGAGCAGUCAAUUCAUUCACUUUUGUAACGUUGCAGCGCUAUUACGACACGGGUAACCCCCUCUGCUAAAUUAAACCAGCAGUAUAGAGAUGAUUCACCCCAUGCAGUAAUAUGUAAAAGUUCGAGAGGCAAAGAACUAUCCCAAAGGUAAAUAUUUAAAAGUAAACAUUUAACAACUUUACUCUUUACGUCCAACAGAGAAUUUUAAAACUCACAGAAAUGCCCGGUUUUAUAGUCCAAACAUCGAAUCAUUUUAUUGGUGUUAAUAUUAUCAAAAUACUUAAUUCAAACUUGAUUGGACUUUGGUAUUUUGGGGCAAAAUUUAAACGGAUUGGCCAAAUUUAAAUUUG